rnacentral:rRNA from 1 species
GCCUACGGGGCGCAGCAGUGGGGAAUAUUGGGCAAUGGGCGCAAGCCUGACCCAGCAACGCCGCGUGAAGGAAGAAGGCCUUCGGGUUGUAAACUUCUUUUGUCAGGGACGAAGCAAGUGACGGUACCUGACGAAUAAGCCACGGCUAACUACGUGCCAGCAGCCGCGGUAAUACGUAGGUGGCCAGCGUUGUUCGGAAUGACUGGGCGUAAAGGGUGUGUUGGCGGUGUAGCAAGUUAGAAGUGAAAUACCUAGAGCUUAACUCAGGUGCUGCUUCUAAAACUGCUAUACUUGAGUGCAGUAGG